ensembl:lncRNA
AUAUUAUUGUUGAAUGAAAAAAAAAUAAAAAAAGGAGAAGGAUGUGACUACUCUUAAAAUAUGGAAACAAUUUUUAUAUUAUAAAAUACGUAUAAGGGAGAAAGCAGAGAGAGUCCAGGCUGAACAUGGCUGGCAGAAUAAAACAGACCAACAGACAAGAGAUGGGAAAAGCAAGAGCAUAAGACAGGAGACACCAUCCAAGUGAAGAGGCUCAGGCAGAAAACGUUUAGGGAAGGAAUGAGGCAUCCCAUUGUGACAGGAGGGACAUCAAUAAAAACAGAAGAGCAAAACCCAAUGUCAUGCUAAAUAGUCUUUCAUUCUGUUUCAAAUAAACCAAGAGAGGUGUAGGAGCACUGUACUCUGAACUCUCAAUGAUUUGGACAAAAAGAAGAAUAUGAAGGCACUGUUCAAACAAUAUACAUCUACCUCAACAACCAAGGUACAAAUACCAUCAUACUGAACUCACGGACCCUUGUGGGGAGGCCUGGAGGAAGAACUCAAAGAGCUGAGGAGGAUUGCAAGCCUAUAUGAAAAACUACAUCAGCUGGCCAGACUACCCAGUGCUCCUAUGGACUUGGCCUAUCCAAGGAGUGUACAUGUAUCCAUGGCUCCAGAUACAGCAGUGGAUGACUUUGUCUGCCAUGAGUGGGAGGUUGGCCCUUGGUUCUAUGGAAGUUUGGUGCCUCAGCAUAGGGAAUAUGUUGAGAGGUGGGACAGGAAAGAGUAGGUGAGUGGGGAAGCACCAUCAUAGAAGCAAAGAGGAAGGUGGAGAGAGAGGUUGUGAGUUGGGGGGCAUGUGGAGG